rnacentral:lncRNA from 1 species
ACGCGGAUUCGACCAAAUCCCCAAUAAAUCUCUCGCGCUCUCUCUCUCUCUCUCUCUCUCUGUGGUCGGCUUCGGAGAAAUGUUCCAGAUUUCCAAGGUAAGCCCAGGAGAAAGGUAGCAGAGUAUAGAUAUACGGACCCUCUGUUUUUUUAUAAAAAAAUAAUCCUUUUUUCCUGUUGGGAUUCGUGGUGAUGGGAAAACCAACGUCUCAGUCCUUCUUCUUUGAUCCUUUCUCGAAAUGGGCUUUGGUUAUUUGCGGAGAUUAGUAAGAAUUAGGCGUCAAAAUUUGAUCUUGGCUGGGAUAUACUUUGCUCUCCUUUUUUUUCUGACUGGUUCUUGUUUUAUUCCCAUUUCAGAAACCCUUUUUGCGAGAUUUCUUUGUACGAUUGAGCAUUUAGGCCAAUCCAAUUCUUUCCUCGGUCCAAAAAGUUAUUUUUUUUCCCUCGGAAAUUUAUUGCGUUCUUUAUUAUUUUCCCCUUUUUUGACAUUACAUUCGUUUCUUUAUUUUUUAUCUACUUUUUGUGUUCUUUUGUUGGUUGUGAUAUUUCCUUUUUUGACAUUACAUUGAUUUCUUUCUUUUUAUCUACUUUUUGGUGUUCUGUUUGCUGGUUGUGAAAAAAAACACCUUCUUGUCAUCUGAUUUCUUUGUGAAAAGAAGACAUGGAAGCCAUGAUUUCUUCUCAGUCCCUGUCUCUCAUGCCUCCUGAUGUCCUGAUACAAGUUCAAUAGACCCCCCCUCUCUCUAUCCUCCUUGGUUUCCUCGCUGGGCUUUCUGUUCUGCUUCAAGAAGAGAUCAGAUGACGAGAAAGCUCUUCCUUUUUACCUCAGCUGUAUCAAACUUUCGNNNNNNNNNNNNNNNNNNNNNNNNNNNNNNNNNNNNNNNNNNNNNNNNNNNNNNNNNNNNNNNNNNNNNNNNNNNNNNNNNNNNNNNNNNNNNNNNNNNNNNNNNNNNNNNNNNNNNNNNNNNNNNNNNNNNNNNNNNNNNNNNAAUCGGUAUGCAGGCCUGGUUUUGAUUCCCAACUGCGAAGAGAAAGAGGAAGGGAUGGAAGGGGGCACCUUCUCGGGCGUCGGCAAUGGAGCUCAAGUGGACAACAAAAUUCUCCAGACCUUCCAGAAGAGCUUCGUCCAGGUCCAGAGCAUCCUGGAUCAGAACAGGCUGUUGAUCAACGAGAUCAACCAGAACCAUGAGUCGAAGGUCCCCGACAACCUCAGCCGGAACGUUGGCCUGAUCCGAGAGCUCAACAGCAACAUCAGGAGGGUCGUCGACCUCUACGCCGACCUCUCGAGCUCGUUUUCCAAGUCCGUGGAGUCGUCGGAGGGAGACUCGGCCGGCACGCUUUGGUCCGACGGGAAGGCUGGGCAGAAGAGAACUAGGCCCGGGUAGAGGCAAAGGCAGGCGCAGAGACAAUGGCAGUAGGAUUGGACCUUGAUAGCUUGGUAGAGAAAUAAUAGGUGAUUUCUUCCAUUGUUGUAAUUCCUAUCUAACUUCCCUUUUUCUCUUUUCUCAUUGAAAUGGUGCUCUGUCUGCGUUCCAAACUAGUCUCAUCUUCUUCAGUUGUAGUGUUCUUGCAACUGUCCUAUGGGCAUACCUUUGUUUGGAAAUUCCCAUGAAAAUAGAGUGAGCAUUACAACUCGUCAUAUACAUUGUUGUUGAUUCUUAUGUAUCGGUAUUUAUUGUCAUAAAAGCCAAUAGCAUGUCCUGAGCUCUAUCUAUCAUCGUGGUUGGCUUAAUUAUUUCAUUUAUGCUUUUCGUGAUCCAAUGCUCCAUUUUUUUGAUGGAUUGAUCUUUUAUAUAGAGAAAUAUUUUUGCUCAUCGAAAUAUUUUUUUUUAAGAAGCUCACAUGAUGCUUAGAAAAAUAAUUUUGGUGAUCAUAGAAAAAAGAUAUAUUUCAAAGUGACUCCUAUUUAAUUGAGUAUUUAUUUUAUUAAAAAAAUUGUAUAAAAUAUUUAUUAUAUAUUUAAUAAAAAAUGGAUUUUAUCCAUAAAUUUUGAUAUUUAAAGAUAGCUUUGGAGAAAAAAAUUCUUAAUUUUCAACCAGUGAAAAAGUAAAAUCAUAUCCCUUAUGAAUUUUUCUUUUUUAUGAAACACAAAAAUCCUAUUUUAAUAAAAAUGCUAUUUUCUCGUUUCAAAACUUUAACUAAAUAAGAAGUUUUUUUUGUUUUUCCGUUGACCAUGUUUUCUUUCUUCUACUCUCAUGAAUCAAAGAAGUUCUUAAGGUGACAAAGCUAAUGUAGUGUGCUUUAAUAUCUCUGAAUUUACAAUUUAGAAUAUUUGGUUGAUGGGUUUUCUGUAUGAUUGACAUGAAUUAUUGCUUGGAGUCCAAUAGAAAAUUUCCAGCAGACUCGACAACCACAAACAUUUGAUAGUCUGAUGUCCGAGCCUUUCAUCUUUUGCCUUCCACCUUCUCUUGUCGUUGGGAAGGUCGAGAUCUGAUCCAGGUUUUUUUAUCGUUUUCUUGACUGAUUGCUCUUCUGUCAUCACCAUCAUCAAUCCCUGAUGAAAUCAGUCCUCCUUUUUUCCAGAGCCUUUUCCACAAGCAUUUGUCCCUUUUUGUGAUCUCUUCUUCCACUCAUGCUUCUCAGUUCUCAUGCGUUUUCCUUUUCACGAACUCUUGUAUAGAGAGGACUGCAGUGGUGGGUACUGUCUCCCGCUUCAUAAACCUACAUAAGAUAUGGAGAUGGUCCUGAAGCCUUCAUCCCAUGGAAUCAAACCUUUUCUGCUUACUAGGAGAACUUUUCCAUCCUUUAUGUGGGAGGGGAACAUGCAUCUCCCUGUGAAUCCUGCAAAGUUAGUGGGCUUCUGAAGACGCUCCUUAGGACAUCAACAAGAAAGCAACUUUUAGUAAUUUUUUUGGGCUCCCAAUCAUAAACCACCACAAGGCUAGAAUCCCAGAUAGGAGCAGAUGAGAUUUUUGGUCCCUGUCAUGUUCGAUCCAAUAUCAAUCUCAUGUGUGUUCUUUAUUGUUGGAGCUCCACGCAAAUAAAAAAUAUAAAAUGAAAGUGUCACAAUCUAGGGUUUCAUCCAAAAAGGUUAGCCAUAAAGUAUUAUUUGAAUUUUUUUGGUCCUACCCAAGAUCUACCCAGCGAAUAAAUGAUAUGGGAUUAAAUAUAUGCUCAUACGGAUCCUCACAUACUUCCUCUGUUUAAACCCUGGCGUCUUCGCUAGACUAAGGAUCUAAAUCCAUUCAAAUCCAAUCACAGAUAUCAUGAUUAGCUUAUGGUCAGCUCAGUAUUUUCUAAUCCACAUAAGUUAUGGGUCGUAUCUAUUCUGAUACCAUUUAUUCUAUCACAAUUCAGAACCUCAUCCAAAGAGGCUAGCGAGAAGGUAUUAUGUGAGUUACUUGGUAGAUCUAUCCAGCAAAUAACCGAUAUAAAACUAAACACACGCUCGUAUGAAUCCUUGCAGAAAUGCAGCACACGCUCAUAUGAAUCCAUACAGUGACACCCAACAGGAAGAGGACAAGGGGCCCAAGGUUCAUUUUCAAGGUGGAAGCAACAUCAAUGUUUUCCUCCUCUCUGCUUGGGUUCUUUUGUUCUCUUCCCCUGCGUGAGAUAAAUACCCCGCGGCAACUGGCUUCUCUAUUGAUGAUUCCGCCACCCUAUUUCUCCAAGUUGAUUGCUCGGUCGUCUCGAGGUGGACCAGCCAAGACCAAUCUUUUUUGGAAUCACGGCUUGGUUUCUGGACAAAGGAGACCCACAUGGAGCAUUUGCCAGGACUGGCUGAGGUUUGGUGUAGGCUUAAAUGAUUGGUGAUGCAGGUAUUUGCUCCUUUUGCUUCUAUGGAUAAACGGGAAUCAAGUGGAUCUGAACUGUGGGUAGGUAUCCAAACCAUGGUUGAACUAACUUCCUCCUAUAGUUUGGCAUAACUUUGUUUAUACUUGUCUACUAUAUAUCCUCUAAUGUACAUUUAGUUUAUAUUUUGUUGAUGCCAUUCCUACUCCCAAAAGAUGACAUAAAGAUUAUAUAUGCCGGCUAAGGGAAUAAAAAAAUACAAACACGAUGAUACUAAGACACUUAGAACAGUCUCCAGCUAGUUGAAAACUAGAAACUAUAAACAAUUCAUGGUCCACACCAGUAAUGGUAGGUAUAUAGAGCUGAUAAGAUAACACUUAUCCCCACCCUUCCCUUAACAAUUCAGACACCUGAAAAUGCUUUUGGUUGAGUUUGUCUAAGUUCUGGUUUAUUUGCAGUCUUUUUAAUGGAAAGACAUCUUUGGUUUGACUCCAGUCGACUUCUUUGAGAAAAAAAUUGGUAGGUUCCUAGUUGAUAGUUUUUGCAUGCCAGCUGCUGAUUCUUUGUGGAAAUAUAAAGUUGCAGUAAUUUAUAGUUAUUAUCUGUUAGUUUUUAAUAUGCAUCAAUCUUCUAGACCCUUUUUUAAUAUAUAGCAUGCACUGCCCAAAAUUAGCACUUGGGUGUGUGUCCAUCUUCUAGUUAUCGUUCUGAAAAGUCAUGAUUCAUAUUUGUUGCCGUCAAUCCUGAAACACUGAUAUGGAUCGCCUCCAUGAACCUAUGAGACAACAAAUGAAUGAUGAAAGCUUGCCGGAUUGGCUCUGGCUAGAAGCUUAAGUUAGUGAAAGUUUCUUUAGUGGAAAACAAAAGGAGAAAAAAAAGAGAUGGAAAGAAAAACGGAGGAAUUCAGAUUCUUACCCACCCACCCCCUUCCUUUUUUUUUUUUUGUAGGGGGUUUUAGAUCUAUUUAUAGGUGGAGCCCGAAAACAAAUUAACUCGUGGUUGUGUCGCAACAAACUAUCGACACCAACUUUAAGAACAUGCUCUAACAACCUAGCAUGGGACGGAGUUGUGCGCGCCUUUAAGGCAGUGGAGGCCUAGCUGCUUUCCCUUCAGAGGAGCUCUAUUCGCCAUAGAUCAAUGGCCGAGGUCGCAGAGUUGAGCUAGGAAGUGCCGAUCUCGAAGGUCAGAUGCUUCUAUUUAGCUCAACCUACUUUCCAUGCCUAUAUACCCGAGAAGGCCAAGCUAUGAUGCUUCGGAAGAAAUCCAAAUACGCCAUUUGGGUUGUGAGCUAAAAAUAUCCUCAUACACCACAUCAUAACAAUUAUUAAAUAUCCACCAAGAAUAGCUUGUCACAAAACCAACUUGUAGAGAUAUUUCUGGGCACAGUUAUUUUGUAACCUCUCUUUCCUUUUCUUCCCAGGGGUUCGAUCUUAUUAAUCUUCUUCCUCUCCUCUCUACUAUAGCAUGGAAUUCUUAUGGAUCCUUCACAAGGAUGAGGUCUUCAUCAACGUGCCAAGGUACCCCAGCUGGCACUUAAUUCAAUGGGCUAUGGAAAAGGUGGCUCAAAUGGAAACUGAGCUAGGGUCCCUUCGAGCAAAGGAAUUGUUGAUGGUCUGAUAGCAAGUCGUUGAGGCCGAGAGAAAGGCCCUCUGAGUGAUUGAGGAACAGAAGUUCUUACCGACUCCUUCCAGCAGGGCUUCUAGGAAUUUCAGAAAGGAACAUGUAAACUUAAUUUAGCCAAACCUCAUUGCUUUGCUCCUAGCGGGAGUUGUUCCAAUUAGAAAAGGUAAGAUUCAUUGGACGAGCACCUUUCAUCAAGGCACAAUGAGUAGGCUCUUGGACGGAUCUCCCCUUUGGGCUUGGGACAAGGUGCCAAGGCUUGAUCAACUUGUCUCUCAUUCUUCUUCUUUUCUCCUCUCUUUUUUUCUAGCAGCCUGGCUUGGUCUUAGACCUAUCAUGUAGUCAAAUAUUACACAUGAAGUGAAGGAAGGGUUCUUAUAUAUACCUCCGUUGUCUGGAUUAAUUGCUCAUAUCAAGUUGUCUAUAGGAUGUCAGGAUGGUCAAAUUGGGCCAGAUAGUUGGGAUAGAGUUAUAGUAACAGAAUAUAAUCAUAUAGGGUCAUUUAAGUGCCUUGGAAUAAGGUCUCAAUGCCAUAAUGCUCUUAAAGAUUAGCCGGGAAAGAAAGAUAAACUCAAAGACCAUAAUAGGGCAAGACCAUGAUAAGAUGAGUUGAGUCAAUGAGGAGGCUGGUAAAAAAAAAAAAAAAGAUAGCUAUAAAUGUUUUAGAAAUAAUAUUUCCCAAAGAUAUGCUAAGUCAUGAAGAAAAUUCCAUGGCGGCCGAGGUCAGUAGUUGCGCCACUGACCAAAAGAUGUAUCAAAGUUGUCGUCUUGUUGGAGCAUAAUGCAGCCUCUUCUGGGCUUUCGAUUUGGCAUUCGGUUGGGUCCUUCUGGUCAGUGAUUUUUGGGUGAUCGAGUUGAGCGUGCUUCUUCCUAUCUGAGCCUUGUUAUUACUAGGACUUAAGAUCGGUCGGAUUUUUCCAGUCAGUGAUGCUCCGGCGAUCCAGCCAAGUACGCUUCCUCCCAUCCAAUCCUAUUUGCUACUAGGACUUUUUGAAAGUCCCAAUCAAUUUUGGAAUGUCUCCACGAGAGUACUUGAAGUUCAAUUUGUUGGAUUUAGCUCCCUAGCUAUAUAGUCUCAUAGAACGGAAGUUCCAAUUAAUUACGAGGUAUCUCUAUGGUAGCAACUGGAGUUUGAUACUCCGAGUUUAGCUCCCUAGCUGUGUAGGCUAAUUGAAUAGAGGUUUAAGUUAAUUCUGGAAUGUCUCCAAGGGUCGGUUACGCUGAUGUCAGACAUUGCACCGAAGAAAACUGAAGCACAAUUUCAUUAAUAGUAGAAGUACAAAAGUUGAUUCUACAAAGUUUAAAUAGAUAUAAGGUCAUAUUUUACCAACUGUUCGGAUACCUCUCAUUUUCAUGUAGAUAUUCUUGCUUGACAUCCAUUAUUAUUACUAUAUUUAAGUUGUCAAAUCCUUUCUUGUAUUAUUCAAAUUCUUUGCGCGAGUACACGCUCUCGUCAGCGACGCACCAGGAAAAUAGCACUCCCAUUAUAUUUUCAGUCACCAUAUCUGAUCUGGUCGAGAAGAAAAAAAGACUUAUGUCUACCUCUUAAUAACUUCGAAUUUCACAUCACCAGUUCUGCGAUCAGAUUUUACAUUAAGACAGCUAAACCAAAUACAUCAAUGCAUCUAUUUUUCACCAAUGCUUUGCAGCCACCAGACCAAUUUAAUAAUCACUUGUAUUGAUUUAUGUGAUUCAAUUUGUUGCAAAAAUUCUUCUCUAGUAAUCUUAAAAUAAGUUAAUUGAGUGUCAUUUUAUUUUGAUGGAAACACUCCUCUUAGUUUUUUCAUCAAGAUUGUCUUGGAGAAAUAAAAGGACAAGCUCCAUAGCUACUAACUCCAUAGCUACUAACGUAAAGGAGAAGUGUAUUUAUCAAUUUUCGAAGAGAAAGAUCAUUUGACAAUGAGGGACGCAAGCCACCGAGCCAGUGGGCGAGAUGGUGGGCUCAUGCUAUGACGCAAGGGAAACAAAAGAAAAAUCUAUCAACAUUAGCCGAAGUCCAAAGGCUGGCGUUGGCCGAAUGCCUAAGCAAUGCCCUCCUUUGAAUAGGGGUUCCUUUGUGUGAUCACAACAUUAUCUUAUCAAUAACACUUACAUCAAUUAGAGUGGUUGAAGAUAUUAGAUAUGCCUAAGUCAUGGAUUUGUAUUAUUAGACUCAGCUUUAUCCUUUUCGUUGUUUGGGUCCAUGUCCAUGUCCCACCCACAAGUCUCUAAACAAAUGACUUGUUUACUUUUGCUCAUGGUUUUGGUCUCGGGGCAAAGCAAAUAUAGGUUUGCUUCUCAUUUGUUUAUUUCUAAGCAUCGAUAUUAUGAAUGAGAUGGAGAGAGGGAAAGAUUCCAAUCUUUCUUUAUAUUUACAAAGCAAGCUUAGAUCAGUAGGACUUUCUUAAAGGUUCCAACCUAUCCCAACCUACUGCUCGAAGAUUUAUAAAGUGGAAUCUGUUAAGUAUGACUUAGUACAACAUCCCUAGAUGAAGAAUGAGGCUUAAUUUGGGAUGGAGUGCAUUGAAAUUUGCAAAUGAGUGCAAGAUAUGCCUACUGCGUUUCCCUAUAAAGUAUUAUACAAAUAAUAGAUCAUAGAUUAGCUUACCUCGUAAAUUUUUUACACGGCAUUUUAGAAACCAAAUUUUUUUUUUUUUUUUGUUAACAUGCUACUAAUUAGAUCGUUGGUCAAAAAAAAAAAGAGAGAGAAAAUCUCUCUCUAUUUCUUACUUAUUGAAUUGGUUUAUUGUUUUCAAGAAGCUUUAUUUUAUUUCUUAAUUAUGGUGCUUUUCUUAAAAAAUAGUAUUUAUUCAUAAAUAUUUAAUAAAUAUUUUCAUAAAUUAGUAGUGUAAAUGUCUGUGUUCAGAAACUUAGGAAACUGCUUGGCUCAUAUCAUUCCUUCUUAUAACCAUUGUAGAUAUAAUUCAUGUCUCUAAUGUAACCAAUUCGUUACAAUCUUAUAUCCUGUGCUAUUGUAAUAGUUGAUUCUAUUGGCUAACAAACCCAAAGGUUAGUGAUAGUUUAUAUCUAUAUAUCUAUGUGUAUUUACACAUUUUUGUUUAUUUAUCUGUGUGCAUUCAUGCACGCAUCUGAAAUUUGCUCCAAUGACAACCAAGUUUAGAAGACUAAAGAGAACCAAGUUUUGAUCCCUGCCAAUGUAAAAGACUGUUUUGCGGCAUCAUUUAGACAAUUUUGGACCAGUUGACCACCUUAAGAAGGUUUAGACUGAUUUUGUCACGCCCCGGACCCGGAUCCGUGACACGGCCGUGCUAUUGCCGACUAUCGCCCACAAUAGCACGAAGCCUCAUACCUGGGUAACAGGGUAGUCAAACCAACCGAAUCUUUUCAUAUGAAAGCAUUCUUAGUACAUCAUGCUGGUCAGUACCUAAAUACAGAGCUUCUAUANNNNNNNNNNNNNNNNNNNNCUAGGUUGUGGGCCCGGACAUUACAGAUUUGAAAGUAAAAUUUGGCUUACUCAACACUCAACGAGAAUUCCAUUUUUAAGUGUUUCAGGUGUUAAAAUAAUUAAGUUGACUAACCUCCAAUGGAUCAACUAGGCAAAGCUUUGUAUAUGUUAGUUUCUUUGUGAUGUGAGCCCAUUUGUUUUCCUAAUGCCAAAUAAAACUCAACUUAAGAAUAUUUAGAAAAAAAUAGACAUAAAUGUAAUUAUUAUCUGAGAAAGAAUGUGAGGAAUCUCUGAUCGGAAAAGAAAAUGAUAAAAAUCUCAUCGUAGUAAUUAGCUAAAUUAGCCCACAUUAUACUUUUCACUGUAUAUCUUAGCGAAUCAUCUUAUUAUUUUUUAAUAAGAUAGGAGAGUCAAACCUUAUUUCUUGAUGGAAGAGGGUCAAACCUUAUCAAUAUAAAGAAAGAGAUGCUGCAAUCUUUAAAAGGCAAGCGAGCAUUUUAGUUGUGGUUUCACACCUAAAAGUUUGUUGACCUUGUAGUUAAUUGUUGAAAGUGAUAAUAUAAGAAAGACUCUUCCACUAAAUAGAAUAGUUAGAAUGGUAGGUUGGAAAAGAAUUUUGCAUGAUAUUAUUGUCACCCAAAAAAGUAAUGGAACAGUGAUUAAUUAUCUUGAUUUAUCAAAGUUACAUUUGGCUGCAAGAAAAUCUAGAAGAAAAAUAUUUUCCCGUACAAAUGAAAAAAAGUUUUCUAUGAAACUAAUUAUAUUUCUUUCAAAUUUAUUAAUUUUCUAAUACAACAAACAAACUGAAAACCAGUUCUUUCAAAUUUGUACUCAUUAGCAUUACUUUGGAAAACUUGCAUUAUUAUAUCACACAAAAUGCUGAAGUAACAAACGAAAAAUAGUAUCACAACACAAAGU